rnacentral:rRNA from 1 species
AUGAACGCUGGCGGCGUGCCUAAUACAUGCAAGUCGAGCGAACAGACGAGGAGCUUGCUCCUCUGACGUUAGCGGCGGACGGGUGAGUAACACGUGGAUAACCUACCUAUAAGACUGGGAUAACUUCGGGAAACCGGAGCUAAUACCGGAUAAUAUAUUGAACCGCAUGGUUCAAUAGUGAAAGACGGUUUUGCUGUCACUUAUAGAUGGAUCCGCGCCGCAUUAGCUAGUUGGUAAGGUAACGGCUUACCAAGGCAACGAUGCGUAGCCGACCUGAGAGGGUGAUCGGCCACACUGGAACUGAGACACGGUCCAGACUCCUACGGGAGGCAGCAGUAGGGAAUCUUCCGCAAUGGGCGAAAGCCUGACGGAGCAACGCCGCGUGAGUGAUGAUGGUCUUCGGAUCGUAAAACUCUGUUAUUAGGGAAGAACAAAUGUGUAAGUAACUAUGCACGUCUUGACGGUACCUAAUCAGAAAGCCACGGCUAACUACGUG